rnacentral:lncRNA from 1 species
CACGGAUGCCGCAUGGCGUCUGGUAGACACGGAUGCCGCAUGGCGUCUGGUAGACACGGAUGCCACAUGGGCAUCUGGUAGACACGGAUGCCACAUGGGCAUCUGGUAGACACGGAUGCCAUAUGGGGGUCUAGUAGACACGGAUGCCACAUGGCAUCUGGUAGACACGGAUGCCGCAUGGGGGUCUGGUAGACACGGAUGCCGCAUGGGCGUCUGGUAGACACGGAUGCCACAUGGGCGUCUGGUAGACACGGAUGCCACAUGGGCGUCUGGUAGACACGGAUGCCAUAUGGGGGUCUAAUGGACACAGAUGCCACAUGGGCGUCUGGUAGACACGGAUGCCGCAUGGGCGUCUGGUAGACACGGAUGCCGCAUGGGCGUCUGGUAGACACGGAUGCCGCAUGGGCGUCUGGUAGACACGGAUGCCGCAUGGGCGUCUGGUAGACACGGAUGCCGCAUGGGCGUCUGGUAGACACGGAUGCCAUAUGGGGGUCUAAUGGACACAGAUGCCAUAUGGGUGUCUGGUAGACACGGAUGCCACAUGGGCGUCUGGUAGACACGGAUGCCAUAUGGGCGUCUGGUAGACACGGAUGCCACAUACGGCGUCUGGUAGACACGGAUGCCACAUGGGCGUCUGGUAGACACGGAUGCCACAUGGGCGUCUGGUAGACACGGAUGCCACAUGGGCGUCUGGUAGACACGGAUGCCAUAUGGGGGUCUAAUGGACACAGAUGCCAUAUGGGUGUCUGGUAGACACGGAUGCCACAUGGGCGUCUGGUAGACACGGAUGCCAUAUGGGCGUCUGGUAGACACGGAUGCCACAUGGGCGUCUGGUAGACACGGAUGCCACAUACGGGUCUAGUAGGACAGCGGGACCCGCAGGGAGCGUGGUGACAGAGACCGUGGUGACCGGGACCGUGUGCAGGGACCUGCCCUCCUGCUGCUGCAUAAACGUUCGGGGGUUGGGGGGCUCCAGAACGGGGGCACCAGGUGCUCAGGAAGACCCGGCGGAGCCUUCGCCUCCCAGGCCCAGGGGCUGUCCUCUUUGUCAGCCGGGGGUCAUCACAGCCAGGGGGCUCUCCCCCGCCAGAGCCAGAGUCCAGAACGUGCUCCAGAAGCCGCGACAUGUCUGGUGCCCCGGGACUGUCUCUGGUGUCCGCAGCUCUCGUUUGGGGAGAAAAGGAUUUCUCUGCUGAAUGCUCUUCCCCCACAUUAAAAUCCAGGCUGUUGAUCUGAUUCUUAGCACCAUGAUUUUAUACACUGUGUUUUCUUAAAAGAGAAAAAAGGGAUUUUUGUAUCCUGAAAAAAAGCAUCAUCUUGCUUUUGUAAAAUCUAUAAAAGAGCCUGUGAUUUC